CCUACGGGGGGCAGCAGUCGAGAAUCAUUCACAAUGGGGGAAACCCUGAUGGUGCGACGCCGCGUGGGGGAAUGAAGGUCUUCGGAUUGUAAACCCCUGUCAUGUGGGAGCAAAUUAAAAAGAUCGUACCACACGAGGAAGAGACGGCUAACUCUGUGCCAGCAGCCGCGGUAAUACAGAGGUCUCAAGCGUUGUUCGGAAUCACUGGGCGUAAAGCGUGCGUAGGCUGUUUCGUAAGUCGUGUGUGAAAGGCGCGGGCUCAACCCGCGGACGGCACAUGAUACUGCGAGACUAGAGUAAUGGAGGGGGAACCGGAAUUCUCGGUGUAGCAGUGAAAUGCGUAGAUAUCGAGAGGAACACUCGUGGCGAAGGCGGGUUCCUGGACAGUAACUGACGCUGAGGCACGAAGGCCAGGGGAGCGAAAGGGAUUAGAUACCCUUGUAGUC
rnacentral:rRNA from 1 species